UUGGGUUGGUGUUGUUUUUCUCCUCCUCCUCCUCCUCCUCCUCCUCCUUCUUUUUGUUUCCCUGCAGCCAGCAUGAUCGCGAACGUGGCGUCCCGCAGGGUUUUGCUCGGGAAAACUCCUCGUGCACGCGCGUGGGCGCUUGCUGCGACCAGUCGCGCCAUCCACGUGGACGCGCCGCCGAUCGUCCCCACGCUGACCAGCAGUUACGCGCACGGCACGUCGUCCUCCUCGCUGCUCGACGUCACCGUCGGCGACGCGCUCGACCGGGCGGCCGACAGGUGGCCCGACAGGGAGGCCGCCGUCUUCGUACGGGACGGCGUGCGCAAGACCUUCGCCCAAUUUCACCAAGACGUGGAGCGCGCGGCGGCCGGCCUCCUGGGCCUGGGCCUGCGGCGAGGCGAGCGCCUGGGCAUGUGGGGGCCCAACACGUACGAGUGGCUCCUGUUCCAGUUCGCCACGGCCAAGGCGGGCGUCAUCACGGUCUCCGUCAACCCGGCCUAUCAGGUGGAGGAGGCGGAGUUUGCACUGAGGAAGGUGGGUUGUAAAGCGGUGGUGUGUCCCGAGGCAUUCAAGACCCAAAAGUACUGCGACAUGUUGCGGCUCAUCUGUCCUGAGAUUCCGGCGUGCCCGCCCGGAGACAUCCGGAGCAGCCGACUUCCCGACCUUCGCUCCGUGAUCGUCCUGGACGGCCGCCAGCCCGGAAUGUUCCACCUGGACGACGUGAUGCAGGCGGGCGACGAGCGCUUCCUGCGCCAGCUGCACGAGAUCGGCAAGAAAUUGUCGUGCGACGAUCCCGUCAACAUCCAGUUCACCUCGGGAACGACGGGCCGUCCCAAAGGCGCCACCCUGACGCAUCACAACGUGGUCAACAACGCGUUCUUCGUGGGCAAGCGCGUCGGCUUCGACUGGCGGCCCGCCACGCGAGUCUGCCUCCCCGUGCCGCUCUACCACUGCUUCGGCUCGGUAGGGGGCGGCAUCUGUAUGGCCGUCCACGGCCUCUCGCUGGUCUUCCCUUCGCCCGGGUACAGCGGGAAAGACAACCUGGCCGCCAUGCAGAGCGAGAAGUGCACGUUCGUGUACGGCACGCCCACCAUGUACGUGGACAUGACAACCCAGCCCGACGUGCGGCGCUUUGACCUGUCGUCUGUUGUCGGAGGCAUCAUCGCGGGCUCACCGUGCCCCCCUGAGCUGGUUCGGAGCGUCAUGUCCGUCAUGGGCAUCAAGGAAGUGACGGCCCAUGUGGUCCAGGUGGAGCUUCUCCACGUAGCGGCCGAAGCUGCGGAAGGCGCGGUCCGGGAUGCUCUUCAUGGGGUUCCGGCCCAGCGCCAGCUCUUCCACCACGCGCAGUUUGCUCAUGGCGGCGGCGGGAUAGGCAGCCAGCUCGUUGCGGUCCAGGUGAAGCACGGCCAGGUUCUCCACGUCGUCCAGGGACCCGGCGUUGAGCGCGCUCAGCUCGUUGCCGCUGAGGUGCAGCCAGCGCAGGUCCUUGGCGCCGGCGAAGGUGCCGGCACGGAGCCGGCGCAGCUUGUUGUCGUCCAGACGCAGCACGAAAAGGUUGACCAGAGGCGAGAAGAUCCCUUCGGCCAGCUCGCCGAUGCGGUUGCGGUCCAGGUGGAGGUAGGUGAGGCGGGUCAGGUCUCGGAAGGCGUCGGGUUGGAUGCUGCUGAUGUGGUUGUGCGACAGGUAGAGGUAGACCAGCUGGGUCAGGCCCUUGAAGGCGUUGGCGGCGAUGCGGCGCAGCUGGCAGCGCUGCAUGUGCAGCGACACCAGGCCGCCGCUCUCGCCGAAGGCGGCGCUCGGAACGACGCCCAGCGGGUUCCUCUGCAGGUUGAGCAGCCGCGUGGAUUCGGACACGCGCGGGAUCUUCUUCAGGCCCACGCCGUCGCAGAUGACGUGCUGCAGGUCGCCGUGGCAGCGGCACGGGGCCGGGCACCGGCCGGGCGCCCCCCCGGCCAUCAGGACGCUCCCCAACAGCAGCAGGCAGCCGACGCGGCGCAUGUCUCGUCCUCGCGCAGACUGAGCGGGCUGCCGCCGGGCCGCGGGGAAAAGGCGGGUGGGCGGCGGCCAGGCUCCGGGGGGACGUCCCCCCUCGCCGGAACACUCGGGGCUAUUGUUUGGCCGCCGCCCGGGAAAGGUAAACAUGCGGACGCGUCUCGCAGCGGCGUGAGGAGGAAGUCGGUCUGCUGCCGGCUGAGCUUUUGAGCUCAAAUGGCCUCGGCGGGUUCCAAACAUUCCUCUGGCGAGCGCAACGCUUCUGGAAGGAAUGUGGAGUCCACUCGACACUUCGAUCGGCUACGGCGCUACAGAGAACAGUCCCGUCACCUUUUGUGGCUCGCCGCUGGACAACCUGCACAGGAAGUGCGAGACGGUCGGAUACGUCAUGGACCACACUGAGGUUCGUGGCCGCGCCCGCGCCCGCGCCCGCG